UACGUAGGGCGCAAGCGUUGUCCGGAAUUAUUGGGCGUAAGAGCUCGUAGGCGGUUUGUCGCGUCUGCUGUGAAAACCUAAGGCUCAACCUUGGGCUUGCAGUGGGUACGGGCAGACUAGAGUGCGGUAGGGGUGACUGGAAUUCCUGGUGUAGCGGUGGAAUGCGCAGAUAUCAGGAGGAACACCGAUGGCGAAGGCAGGUCACUGGGCCGCAACUGACGCUGAGGAGCGAAAGCGUGGGGAGCGAACAGG
rnacentral:rRNA from 1 species